UCAGGACGAACGCNGGCGGCGUGCUUAACACAUGCMAGUUGAACGGGCAGAUAUGGAAGCUUGCUGAAGUAUCUGUUAGUAGCGGACGGGUGAGUAAUGCAUGAGGAGCUGUCAUAGGGAGGGGGACAACAGUUGGAAACGGCUGCUAAUACCCCGUAUGCCGGAAGGUGAAAGGGAGCGAUCCGCCCGAUGAGGUACUCAUGUCCUAUCAGCUGGUUGGUGGGGUAACGGCCUACCAAGGCGACGACGGGUAGCCGGCCUGAGAGGGUGAACGGCCACACUGGAACUGAGAUACGGUCCAGACUCCUACGGGAGGCAGCAGUGGGGAAUAUUGGGCAAUGGGGGGAACCCUGACCCAGCGACGCCGCGUGAGGGAAGACGGCCUUCGGGUUGUAAACCUCUUUUGUACGGGAAGAAGGAAGUGACGGUACUGUACGAAUAAGUCCCGGCUAACUACGUGCCAGCAGCCGCGGUAAUACGUAGGGGACGAGCGUUGUCCGGAAUUACUGGGCGUAAAGGGCGCGUAGGCUGUGCUGCAAGUCAGCUGUGAAAUAUCUGGGCUUAACCUGGAUAUGCGGAUGAGACUGCAGUGCUGGAGUGCUGUAGAGGCAAGUGGAAUUCCCAGUGUAGCGGUGAAAUGCGUAGAUAUUGGGAAGAACACCGGUGGCGAAGGCGACUUGCUGGGCAGCAACUGACGCUGAGGCGCGAAAGCCAGGGGAGCGAACGGGAUUAGAUACCCCGGUAGUCCUGGCCGUAAACGAUGAAUGCUAGGUGUGGGUGUAGAGAUACAUUCGUGCCGGANUUAACGCGAUAAGCAUUCCGCCUGGGGAGUACGGUCGCAAGAUUGAAA
rnacentral:rRNA from 1 species